GAGAGUAUAGCUUAGUGGUAGAGUGCUCACCUAGUAAGCAUAAAGUCCUGGGUUCAAUCCCCAGUACUUCCU
rfam:Camelus ferus unplaced genomic scaffold scaffold288, whole genome shotgun sequence.